GUGCAUGUUUUGUCAGCACAUAUACUAAAAUUGGAAUGAUAUAGAGAAGAUUAGCAUGGCCCCUAAGCAAGGAUUGACACACAAAUUCAUAAAGUGUCCAUAAAAAAA